rnacentral:lncRNA from 1 species
AUGUGUUUUCUCAUGUUGCUGUCAAAAUUCUUGAGAUUUAUUUAUAAUCACCUACUGCUUUUUGUUGAGGAGAAUUUGAUCUGCACUUCUUGCUCCUUGAAGAUCAUUAGCUUAUUGGUCCUCUCUCCCAACUAUUAUAGGGUCCUUUCCUUACAAUAUAAGCCUUUUGGGAAUUUGUUAUUGAAUCCAAACAUCAGAUCCCUUAUGUACUACCAUAAAAGAGAACAAGUUCCCCUAAACUAAAGUUUGCACCACAGAAAAUGAAUUAUCAAAGAUGUGUAGGUAACACUGAAAAAUGGAGGAUGAAGUCACCUCUGGCUCUACAAGCUGGGAGCCCCCAUACCAUCUGCCAGAAAGUGAUCCCAUUUGGCCCAGCAGAUGAUGCUACUGACAAAUGAGUCCACUGCGACACCUGGAACUUAUGGUUCCAUGUUGAGUUUGCAGAGAUGGAAGACAUGCUUCAAAUAUAACCACACGUUUUUAUCUAAAUAGUUUUUUCUCAAGGUUUAUUUUACAUUCAUUAGCUACAUUGUUGUUCAUUAUUUUCCAACUUGAAUUGCUAUGUCCGGUAACACACAACUUCAAAUAAAGUGUACUAGCUUGUUCCUCCAUGUACUUCAUGAAGCUUGUCAUGGGUACACAGACAAGGAUAAAAGCUAGCUUGAAGAUAACAGAUGAAUAAUGGAUGUGGCAACAAAUCUUCUUGCAUCAUAGUGUUGGGAAAGUGUUGGAGUUCUUGUCCUUACUUUUCUCCAUAGGUGAAUAAGGAGCAAAACAUUGGUGCAUGGAUCAGGACCUGAUGACACCAGACUCAUUAAAUUUACAUGGGUCCACAAACAUGAAGACUGUUUCUCCACCUCCCAGAGCAAAUGGAAGAAUAGACUAAGGCUGACCAGAGUAAGUAAUCAGCUCUCCGUAAGGAAAACAACAGUGAUGUUGGCCACACUAACACCUAAUGAAAGUACAGUACUAAGUUGAAGAGAAUGUGUUGCACUAGGCUACAUAAAGUUAAUUUUGACUUAAUACCUAAAAUACUAAACAGAUGAAUUGCAGAUGAAAUAGUGGAAAUGAGCCGAAACAGAUUACUGGGAAACUGUUAGAUGUUAGAAGGUUAAACUCAUUUGCUGACCAAAUAGUACAGAUAUAUUCAUGUUGCUAAUAACGAUUCAAACACUUUUUACAAUAUAUGACAUAUUUGCUAUAAAAGCAAAGUCACAGUCUGAAAAUAAAAAGGUGGGGUUUUUUUGUUUGGUUUUUUAGGUGAAUUAACAUCAACACACCUUUAACGGAGGAGGUUAAUAAGCUGGGUAUUGGUAUAUAACUUAAGUGAAUACCUCCAGGGCUGAAUAAUGAGUAGUUUCUUCAGUAGCCACUUGAGGCUGGCUCCAGAAACGAAUCAGUUACUGCAGACUCCAGUGUGCCUUUUAGUAAAACUGUAUAGUCCGUCACUCUUAUUUGGAGUCAGUUCAACUGGUUAAGCCUUUGAGAAAGGCUUAACUUGCAUCACCAGCAGUUAUUUUACCCUUCAUUUCUUGAAGUCAUUGAUUAUAAUUGACUCUCAGAGGUCUCUGCUACUUCACUGUUAGUCAAUUCCUGCAUGGACGUCCUUCAAGACCGAGUCUGAUAGAUACAUAAAUCUAGAAAUUUACAGAACUUUAGAACCUUAACAGUACAAUGUUUUUAGACAAUUGUUGCAGUAUUUCACUGUGGUAGUAUUUCAAAAUGUCUGAAAUCAUUUUUUUGUAAUUGCUUUAAUUGAUUUCAUGUUUUUGUUCUUGAAGAUCUUCUCGGAAGAAUAAAAGUACAUCCAAAUUAUUAGAGCCUUUUUCUGUGAUUGAUGCAGUUGGUGAACUUUUGCAAAUGUAACAUUCCCCCUGCCUCAUUGCUAAGAUGGAUACUAACCAGAAAUGGCUCUUUUAGACAACAAAUGAACAGCCCCGUGUUCCCAAUGUAACAUUUUGUACUGUGUGUCUUUAAACUUGGUCAAAUCCACUGCAGAGAAACAGCUUGCUCUUAUGGUUAGACCAUUAUAAGUCAGAAUUUUGGUUUAGAUGGUCACAGCUAGAAUGUCUGCUAAAUUAAACAAGAUGUGCUGGUUGGCCUUACAGUAAAAAAGAGAAGUAUUUGCACAGCUGGGCACUGAGCCGUUAAAUCUCCUGAAUAUUGGAUCAUUCCUGCACUGUACUUUUUUUGUUUUUCUAUUUAUUCCAGCCAGAAGGCAUCAAGGUAAAGUACUCCAUCAGUGAAUUAUUGGAUUGUUUGGAGAGAGAGAUGGAGAGAGGAGAAGAGAAAGUGCUCUGCAGAUUUCUCAGUAAAGUUGCCAGCUGAGAACUUAUCUACUCUGCUUUGGGAAAGUAAUCAAUUUCUGCCUUUUCUGCUAGAAAACAAGUCCACACUUUUCUACUGCAGAUUUAUUGGGAUGCUUGACCAUACUUUAAGAAGUUCUGCCCACUGUAAGUGUAAUUUAGCAUUUUUUCUGCUAUAAUUUUUGGAUUGGCAUUAUAUUAGGGUCAAUUGAACCUACUGUAGUUUAAUGAAAUGGCAAAUGAUUAAAAAGAAGAAGACUUGAACAUAAAUAUUACCUGCUAUAGUGCUGUAUUCUGCUUUGGUUUUCCUUUUUCUCUCAUGUACUGCCCAUUUCCCUCCUGAUGGGUCGUCUACUGCAUCAUUCAACUUUCCUCAUGAGGUGCAAAAGUACAAAGUCUAAUCUAAGGAGCUUGGAAAGAAAAGUGUUGGGACACUCCGAUACGGCUUAAAACCUGGGACUCUCCACCAAUUGCGCUUAGAACUGAAGAAGCUUCUUGGAUGAGAGGUGAAACGUCUUCAAGAAAACUUACAGAAGUCCAGACGCUUUUCUUUCCAAGCUCCUUAGACUACGACUGAGACCCUUCACAGACACACAAAGGCUAAUAAUGGAACAUUAGUCAACAUUGGUGGGCCACCUUUAAAUUUGAUAUAAACGAUGGGGCAUGACUACAAUAAAACUACUCACUGUUUAAAUUUGGGAUAACAUAAAGAAAGAUCUGUGAUCUUCUGCUGCUGUAGCCCA